UCGGGCGGCGUUACCCCGCUGUCUGCUCCGUCCUUCCAGGAUCUACGUGUACACUCACCGGCGCAUGGCCAUAGCAGCCGAGGACGUCUGGCUGGAGAAGGUUAUCCCCAUCACGGAAGGGUUUGCCGUGGAAGAAGUUGCACUUGACGGCGACCUUUGCGUCAUCGGCUCCGACGUGACCGUCCGGAUAAGCUCCGAAGAGCACC